rnacentral:rRNA from 1 species
AUUGAACGCUGGCGGCAGGCUUAACACAUGCAAGUCGAGCGGGGGAGGUUGCUUCGGUAACUGACCUAGCGGCGGACGGGUGUGUAAUGCUUAGGAAUCUGCCUAUUAGUGGGGGACAACAUCUCGAAAGGGAUGCUAAUACCGCAUACGUCCUACGGGAGAAAGCAGGGGACCUUCGGGCCUUGCGCUCAUAGAUGCGCCUAAGUCGGAUUAGCUAGUUGGUGGGGUAAAGGCCUACCAAGGCGACGAUCUGUAGCGGGUCUGAGAGGAUGAUCCGCCACACUGGGACUGAGACACGGCCCAGACUCCUACGGGAGGCAGCAGUGGGGAAUAUUGGACAAUGGGGGGAACCCUGAUCCAGCCAUGCCGCGUGUGUGAAGAAGGCCUUUUGGUUGUAAAGCACUUUAGGCGAGGAGGAGGCUACUGGUAUUAAUACUACCGGAUAGUGGACGUUACUCGCAGAAUAAGCACCGGCUAACUCUGUGCCAGCCGCCGCCGUAAUAC